rnacentral:misc_RNA from 1 species
AAAAGUCGUAACAAGGUUUCCGUAGGUGAACCUGCGGAAGGAUCAUUAAUGAAUUUUAUGGCGGAAUUGUAGCUGGCCCCAACCGGGCAUGUGCACAUUCUGUUCAUUCCAUUCUCAUACACCUCUGUGCACUUUACAUAGGUUUGGUAUAGAAAAGGUCUUUAUUGACUUUGGAAAUACUGACCUAUGCUUUUACAAACGCUUCAGUUUUAGAAUGUCAUCCGCGUAUAACGCAAUAAAUACAACUUUCAGCAACGGAUCUCUUGGCUC